ACAAUGGAGAGUUUGAUCCUGGCUCAGGAUGAACGCUAGCGGGAGGCCUAACACAUGCAAGCCGAGCGGUAGAGUCUCUUCGGAGACUUGAGAGCGGCGUACGGGUGCGGAACACGUGUGCAACCUGCCUUUAUCAGGGGGAUAGCCUUUCGAAAGGAAGAUUAAUACCCCAUAAUAUAAUGAGUGGCAUCACUUAUUAUUGAAAACUCCGGUGGAUAGAGAUGGGCACGCGCAAGAUUAGAUAGUUGGUAGGGUAACGGCCUACCAAGUCAAUGAUCUUUAGGGGGCCUGAGAGGGUGAUCCC
rnacentral:rRNA from 1 species